CGGGACCCAGAAGGAGGAAGCAGGUUCUGGAGGUGGAGCUGACACUUGUUUCUUCUUUCAUAAACACGGGAUAAUGCUUUUCAUCCCAGAUGAAAGGGCUACACAAAGUGGUGAUAAGCAGAAGUCAGAGACCGUGACUUGGCCUUGUGUUGCUGGAAGCGCAAGUUGGCAGAGCCACAGGUUGCAGCCCUGGCAAGAUCAAGCAAAAGUUUCCUGUCUAUCACAUUUGAAAGUCUUUUUUCACAUCUAGGACUGGGCAUGUAGAUUCUUUUGUAGUCUGGACAAAUCAGUAGUUGUGCCAUCUUUUGUUAGGAUUUCUUGGCAAAUCUUUUGUAUCCUUUCUUUCAAAACUUCUAUAUCCUUAUAUUUUAGAUGUGGCUCUUGUGAACAACAUAUAGCUGAAUUUUGUCAUUGUUUUAUCCAAGCUGGCAAUGUUUUUCUUUAAAUUAGAUCACUUUCUUCAUUUACGUUAAAUGAAAUUACUUAUAUAUGUGGAUUUAAACCUAGGAUCUUAUUAUGUGCUUUCUGUUUGUCAUGCCAAC
rnacentral:lncRNA from 10 species